GGCAAGAUGGCCGAGCGGUCUAAGGCGCCAGACUCAAGCGAAAAGUUUCCCUGGUUUCAAUCAGGGUUAGCCUUCUGGUCUCGAAAGAGGCGGGGGUUCGAAUCCCCCUCUUGUCA